rnacentral:rRNA from 1 species
CGCCAGCCCGCUCAGAAACUCAAAGGAAUUGACGGGGACCCGCACAAGCGGCGGAGCAUGCGGAUUAAUUCGAUGCAACGCGAAGAACCUUACCAAGGCUUGACAUAUAGAGGAAACGUCUGGAAACAGUCGCCCCGCAAGGUCUCUAUACAGGUGGUGCAUGGUUGUCGUCAGCUCGUGUCGUGAGAUGUUGGGUUAAGUCCCGCAACGAGCGCAACCCUCGUUCUAUGUUGCCAGCACGUAAUGGUGGGAACUCAUGGGAUACUGCCGGGGUCAACUCGGAGGAAGGUGGGGAUGACGUCAAAUCAUCAUGCCCCUUAUGUCUUGGGCUUCACGCAUGCUACAAUGGCCGGUACAAAGGGCUGCAAUACCGUAAGGUGGAGCGAAUCCCAAAAAGCCGGUCCCAGUUCGGAUUGAGGUCUGCAACUCGACCUCAUGAAGUCGGAGUCGCUAGUAAUCGCAGAUCAGCAACGCUGCGGUGAAUACGUUCCCGGGUCUU